GAUGAAGAACGCAGCGAAAUGCGAUAAGUAAUGUGAAUUGCAGAAUUCAGUGAAUCAUCGAAUCUUUGAACGCACCUUGCGCCCCUUGGUUAUUCCAAAGGGCAUGCCUGUUUGAGUAUCAUGAACACCUCAACUCUUGUGGUUUCCCACAAUGAGCUUGGACUGUGGAGGUUUUGUUGGCCCUGUGGGCAGCUCCUCUCAAAUGGAUCAGCUUACCGGUGUUUGGUGGCAUUACGGGUGUGAUAACUAUCUACGCUCGUGGUCGUCUCCAAAUAACCUCCAGUGAUGGAGGUUCGCUGGAGCUUAUAAAUGUCUCUCCCCAGUGAAGACAGCCUUUGAACGUUCGAUCUCAAAUCAGGUAGGACUACCCGCUGAACUUAAGCAUAUCAAUAAGCGGAGGA
rnacentral:misc_RNA from 1 species